CCCAGCAUUCAGUUUAGAUUUCCCCCCCCCCCCCCAGCUCUAUCCUGCCCUAUCAACAGGCCAAGGCAGUUUCUUUAUUCACUAAUGGUAUUCACAGCAUACAGAGGGGAAUCCCACAUCAAGGUUCUAAAACGUAAUCCCUUGACCCAGCUGCCUGAGGGCACUUCAGGGACCUGGACAGAGCAGGAUGGGGGUGCAGAGUCUACUUUCCCUUCUUUUUUCUGUGUGACGGUAGAUGAGCCAUGGGCUCUGUUAGAGUUCAGCUGUCAAUCACAGGAGAGACCCAGACACCUGCUUCCUACAUUCAGCUGAUUGAAUAUCUUUUAUAAUAGAUCUGUCUAGGCUCCUCCAAGCAUUUAAGAAAACGGAGACAUACCAGGUGCUGUUUUAGGUAGAGGCAUCUUGUCUACCCCAUGCCCCAGUGGAGGAGCAGGACAGUAAGCACACAAGAAAGCAGGAUUCUUCUCAACAGCAUAUGCAGUAGAGGGACCAAGGGAGACAUUGUUAGGGAGCUUUCCAUCCUUGUAACAAAAUGCCUGAGUCUAUCAGCUUUAAGGAGAAAAAGUUCAUUUUGUCUCACGGUCUUAGAGCUUCUAGUCUGUGACCGAGUAAAUCAGCAUGGUCCAACCAUUCCUUUCAAAGGCAUGCCCCCAGUGACCUCAGGAUUUCUCACAAGGCCCUACCUCCUCUUGGUUUCACCUCUAAAACCAUCUCCUCAGAACCAUGCUAUUUUUUAAAUUUGAGUUUAAACUUUAUUUUAAUUUUGAUGUGUCUAUGCAUGUCCAUAUCUCUGUGUGUGCCUGUGUCUAUUUCUCUGUGACUGUGUCUAUGUGUCUGUGUGAAUAUGAGCAUGUGUAUACAGAUGCCUAAAGAUGCCAGAAGAGGGCAUCAGAGACCCUGGAGUUGGAGAUAUGGGUGAUUGUCAGCUGUCACACGUGGGUGUUGGGAAUUGAACUCUGGUUCUCUGGAAGAGCAGUAAGUGCUCUUAACCACUGAACCUUCUCCCCAGCCCCUGGAACCAAGCCUUGUCAUGUACUUUGGAGGAUAGUCAAGAUCCUAACACAGUAGGGAUUGAUGUGGCAGUGACCAGGGCAGGGGACAGCUUUAGAAAAGGGGAGGGCGUUUAGAGCAGAGGGACCAGAAGAGCCGAGAACUAAAUAGCGAGAGGAAUUCAGCCUGAGAGAAUCUGUAGCAAGAGCAAUGCAGAAGUGAGCCAACAAGACUUACGAGGGCAUGGGUGGCACUAACCACACCACAGUGAGGACAGCAGUAGAGGUUUGCAGACUGACGUGUGGAGAAGGAGGGCUCUGGGUUGCGAUCUGCUGGGUCAGCAUCUAGUGGCCAUGUCUGUUGAACCCUGUAAACCUGGCUGAGCAUGAUGAGCCAUGCUAGAUGUGUUCUGAUGGCGGUGUGUGUGUGUGUGUGUGUGUGUGCUGGUCAAGUAAAAGCUGUGUAGGUGGCGUGUGAUGGUCUAGAAAACGCUCCCGUCCCCAUAUAUACCAGGAGAGUACACCUGACCGUGCCCUCCAAACUGUUCCCUCUCUUAUCAGUCAUGCACUAGUGACAACAAUAUCUGCUGAAUGUUAAAUCCAGGCCAAACUAGCUUGAAACUUUUUAUAUCAUAAGGUAUAUUGUAUUAGGUUUGACCCAACAUCAAUACUUACUUUUUCAAAGAAGAAUUUGAUUUCUCUCUCUCUUUCUCUCUCUGUCUGUAUAUGUGUGUGUGUGUGUGUGUGUAUGAGAGAGAGAGAGAGAGAGAGAGAGAGAGAGAGAGACUUGUGCACAAUAGUGUACAUGAUGUGAAGGUGAAGACAACUUGAAGUAGUUAGCUCUCUCCUUCUACUAUGUGGGCUCCAGAGAUCAAACUCAGAUUGCCAAGUUUGGUGGCAUGAGUCUUAUUUUUUUUUUUUUCAAAAUAAGACGGAACCUUACUAUGUAGCUCAGACUGGCCCGAAAAUUAGCAGGAGCACACAGAGAACCUUCUUAGCUCCAAAUAUCUCAUUCACUAUCGCUCCUGUCUCCAUCUCACUCCCCCAGCCUCAUUCAUCCCUGUACAAUCCAAUUCUGGGAGUACUUCCUGUUCUCACGCCCGCAGCCACAUCCUGUUUUCCUACAGUCCACCCACACACAUUUAAUGACCAGUCAUGGUCAUUGUCAUUCUGCCCUCAGUGCCUGUCCCUCCUUCUGGCUAAACUAUGAGAUUGCUGGACUGAGGCCUCCAGCUGUCUGGCUUCCUUUUCAAGCAAUAAGAACCAAACUCAAAAGAUGCAUGCUUCUGGGUUCCUACUGCUUCCUAGGAGACAAAGCAAUUAGAAGAGGAAGCCCACAAAGCCUCAGUACUGGAUCAGCUUCACAGUAGCAUCUGCCAGCAUGGGUACCCUCGGAUGCUGUCUUCCAGCCUUCAUUCUGGACACUUGUCCUCUCCUGGCAGAGCCCGGUCCUGCACCCAUAGAGACAUCCUCUCCUGCCCAUGCUAAGGGCAUCGCCCCAUCACUUCUCUUUCUCCUGCAUCAGCACAUUCUCUCUUCCUAAGUGCUGUGCCUUAACCAAUGAACCAUCAGGAUUCCACACUUUCUUGUUUACUAGGUCAUUCUCACCAGCAUGUAAGCAUGCUGGUUUUUUUAAUCAAGCAAAAACAAAAAUGAAUUCAAGCAACCAUGUAUUCUUCACUCUUUGCAACAACAACAACAACAACAAAAACUUGAAGUUAAAUAUCCUUGCUCACUCUGUUUUCUCUCCUUUCAAUUUCUUGAGAACCCAGUUUAAGAAUCUGUUCAGGGACUGGCGAAGAUGGUUCAGUUGGCAAACCUUGGGUUCAAUUCCCAGCAUCCAUAUGGCAGCUCACAAACUUGCGUAAUGCUAGUUCCAGGAGGAUCUGACGCCCUCUUCUGGUCUCCAUGCCGUGUAGAGCGUUUUAUGCAGGCAAAACACUCAUACAAAUAAAAUAACAAAAACCAGAGAAGGCAUAUAAAUGGUAAUGAAAGAGUUCUGUGAUCAAAGAAAUUAAAAUUAUAUGAGAACAAGUAUAAAUGUGGCAGAUGCUUGUUGAGGUCACAGGUGGGGCUGGAAUCAGAGUACCUGGUGAGGACCUGUGCCCCUGGGAGACCCAGCUUCCUCCAGCUAGACAGUAGAAGAGGAAACAGUUGGCCGGUCUUGCAGAGGACCACAGGGAGAAAGCCACCACAUGAUUCCUGUGUUUUCUCUGGGUAGCAGGAGGCACUGUGUAUGCAUUCUGGGAGGAUUUGGAAAGGUGUAGCUAGUGGGAGGUGAGAAAACCACAAAGUGAGUGGGUGGCGAUCUGACGAUGUGGUUCUCAGAGUGAUUGUGACUCAGACUCUUGGGGGAGCGGGGCUUGGAAAAGCUGAUUGUAGGCCAUCAUGGCCACAUUCUUCCAUUCACCCAUCAGGAUGGUGGGGCUCAGGUACCUGCACUGGGUUUCCAGGAUGCUGAUGUUCAGGUACCUGCACUGGGUUUCCAGGAUCUGAUGCUCAGGUACCUGCACUGGGUUUCAGGAUGCUGAUGUUCAGGUACCUGCACUGGGUUUCCAGGAUGCUGAUGCUCAGGUACCUGCACUGGGUUUCCAGGAUGCUGAUGCUCAGGUACCUGCACUGGGUUUCCAGGAUCUGAUGCUCAGGUACCUGCACUGGGUUUCAGGAUGCUGAUGUUCAGGUACCUGCACUGGGUUUCCAGGAUGCUGAUGCUCAGGUACCUGCACUGGGUUUCUAGGAUGCUAUGCUCAGGUACCUGCACUAGGUUUCCAAGAUGCUGGUGUGAUGCUGAUGAGCCUUAGCCUGAGGACCACUGAUCUGGAGUAGAGAAUAGAGACCAGGAGUGCACCUCUGUCUUGCUCGGUCUGCCUUGCCCUGAGGUGCCUACUGGUCUAAGUCAGGUGACCAUGCCCAUUCAGGAGUGGAAUUCUGUAGGAAGAGCCCACGAAGAAAAGAAGUAAGGUUGGGGUUCCCAUGAGUCUGAAUGGCACAACUGACCCCAGUUAUAGAUAGAGUCAUCCGAAGACAAGAGAGAAAGAAGCCUGGAGAGGAACUGGUGAUAGUUUCUCACAGUGCUGACAAAUUUCUAGGAGAACAUCUUCAAGGAGUUUUGGGCCAUGGUUUCCAUCCAUGGUCACCUUCUUCUACUGCACAGGUCUGAAGUGACACAGAGCAUCAUGAUGGAAGAGUGGAGGAGAAAAUGGCUCUCCUCAGAAUGGCCAGGAAGAAGUUAGUGUGGGACAGGAUGGGAGAGACAAGAUACGCCCUUCAAAGGCGUGACCCCCAACCUCCUAAAGUUCCUACCAACUGACACCAAUUAGGGACUCAGCCUUCACCACACAAGCCUGGGGGUAACAUUUCAUAUUCAAAUCCUAACAGUGUCCCUGAUAAUCACUAGGCAUUUCCAUCAGGCUGAUAUCACAGAAUUGAUUUCCUGACAUUUUUUUUUUUUU